rnacentral:lncRNA from 1 species
AUGCUGUGCCUGACAAAGGAUUUGAGAAGCUAUUGAAAAUAUUGAAGAAGUGUUGGAAAUAUGCCCUAGAGGCAAUAAUAAAUAGGUUAUUGUUAUAUUUCCUUGUUCAUGAUAAUCGUUUAUUAUCCAUGCUAGAAUUGUAUUGAUAGGAAACUCAGAUACAUGUGUGGAUACAUAGACAACACCAUGUCCCUAGUAAGCCUCUAGUUGACUAGCUCGUUGAUCAAUAGAUGGUUGCGGUUUCCUGACCAUGGACAUUGGAUGUCGUUGAUAACGGGAUCACAUCAUUAGGAGAAUGAUGUGAUGGACAAGACCCAAUCCUAAGCCUAGCACAAGAUCGUGUAGUUCGUUUGCUAAGUGCUUUUCUAAUGUCAAGUAUCAUUUCCUUAGACCAUGAGAUUGUGCAACUCCCGGAUACCGUAGGAAUGCUUUGGGUGUACCAAACGUCACAACGUAACUGGGUGGCUAUAAAGGUGCACUACAGGUAUCUCCGAAAGUGUCUGUUGGGUUGGCAUGAAUCGAGACUGGGAUUUGUCACUCCGUGUAAACGGAGAGGUAUCUCUGGGCCCACUCGGUAGGACAUCAUCAUAAUGUGCACAAUGUGACCAAGGAGUUGAUCACGGGAUGAUGUGAGUUACGGAACGAGUAAAGAGACUUGCCAGUAACGAGAUUGAACAAGGUAUAGGGAUACUGACGAUCGAAUCUCGGGCAAGUAACAUAUCGAUAGACAAAGGGAAUUGUAUACGGGAUUGAUUGAAUCCUCGACAUCGUGGUUCAUCCGAUGAGAUCAUCGAGGAGCAUGUGGGAGCCAACAUGGGUAUCCAGAUCCCGCUGUUGGUUAUUGACCGGAGAGUCGUCUCGGUCAUGUCUGCCUGUCUCCCGAACCCGUAGGGUCUACACACUUAAGGUUCGGUGACGCUAGGGUUAUAGAGAUAUUAGUAUGCGGUAACCCGAAAGUUGUUCGGAGUCCCGGAUGAGAUCCCGGACGUCACGAGGAGUUUUGGAAUGGUCCGGAGGUAAAGAUUUAUAUAUGGGAAGUCUUAUUUUGGUCGCCGGAAAAGUUUCGCACUUUAUCGGUAUUGUACCGGGAGUGCCGAAAGGGGUCCGGUGGUCCACCAAGGGGGUCCACAAGCCCCGGGGGGCACAUGGGCUGUAGGGGGUGCGCCUUGGCCUAUAUGGGCCAAGGGCACCAGCCCCAAGAGGCCCAUGCGCCAAGAGAUAAGGAAAAGGGAGAGUCCUAAAGGGGGAAGGCACCUCCGAGGUGCCUUGGGGGGGAAGGACUCCUCCCUGGCCGCACCCUUCCUUGAAGGAAGGGCCAAGGCUGCGCCCCCCCCCCCUCCCUUGGCCCUAUAUAUAGUGGGGGGAAGGGAGGGCAGCAAUACCCAAGCCCUGGCGCCUCCCUCUCCCUCCCGUGACACCUCUUCCUGCCCGCUUGCGCUUGGCGAAGCCCUGCCGGGAUCCCGCUACUUCCACCACCACGCCGUCGUGCUGCUGGAUCUCCAUCAACCUCUCCUCCCCCCUUGCUGGAUCAAGAAGGAGGAGACGUCGCUGCUCCGUACGUGUGUUGAACGCGGAGGUGCCGUCCAUUCGGUGCUAGGAUCAUCGGUGAUUUGGAUCACGACGAGUACGACUCCAUCAACCCCGUUCUCUUGAACGCUUCCGCUCGCGAUCUACAAGGGUAUGUAGAUGCACUCCUCUCUCUCGUUGCUAGAUGACUCCAUAGAUUGAUCUUGGUGAUGCGUAGAAAAUUUUGAAUUAUUGCUACGUUCCCCAACAAGAAGAAGCUCUCAGUAACCUUUCAGGACAGACAAACAAGGGAUACCACGCAUGCACGCACUGUUUAGAUGACACUGAAAGUAUAUACCUGGACAAAAGCAGGAAGAAUGUGUACCUGGGCCAUCGUCGAUUUCUUCCAACCAACCAUCAAUGUCGAAAGAAAGGCAAGCAUUUCAAAGGCGAGCCAGAUCACCGGAAGAAGCCCGCCAUGCGUACCGGUGAUCACGUACUUGCUAUGGUCAAUGAUUUACACGUAAUCUUUGGAAAGGGUCCCGGCGGACUAGCUGUUCCGAAUGACGUUGAGGGACACGCACCCAUGAGGAAGAAGAAAUCUAUAUUUUGGGACCUACCCUACUGGAAAGAGCUAGAGGUCCGCUCUUCAAUCGACGUGAUGCACGUGACGAAGAACCUUUGUGUGAACCUGCUAGGCUUCUUGGGCGUGUAUGGGAAGAGAAAAGAUACACCUGAGGCACGGGAGGACCUGCAACGUUUGCACGAAAAAGACGGCAUGCCUCCGAAGCAAUAUGAAGGUCCUGCCAGCUACGCUCUUACGAAAGAAGAGAAAGAAAUCUUCUUUGAAUGCCUGCUCAGUAUGAAGGUCCCGACUGGCUUCUCGUCGAAUAUAAAGGGAAUAAUAAAUAUGCCAGAGAAAAAGUUCCAGAACCUAAAGUCUCAUGACUGCCACGUGAUUAUGACGCAACUGCUUCCGGUUGCAUUGAGGGGGCUUCUACCGAAAAACGUCCGAUUAGCCAUUGUGAAGCUAUGUGCAUUCCUCAAUGCAAUCUCUCAGAAGGUGAUCGAUCCAGAAAUCAUACCAAGGCUAAGGAGUGAUGUGGCGCAAUGUCUUGUCAGUUUCGAGCUGGUGUUCCCACCAUCCUUCUUCAAUAUCAUGACGCACGUCCUAGUUCAUCUAGUCGACGAGAUUGUCAUUCUGGGGCCCGUAUUUCUACACAAUAUGUUCCCCUUUGAGAGGUUCAUGGGAGUCCUAAAGAAAUAUGUCCGUAACCGCGCUAGGCCAGAAGGAAGCAUCUCCAUGGGCCAUCAAACAGAGGAUGUCAUUGGGUUUUGUGUUGACUUCAUUCCUGGCCUUAAGAAGAUAGGUCUCCCUAAAUCGCGGUAUGAGGGGAGACUGACUGGAAAAGGCACGCUUGGAGGGGGGAACUCAAUAAUAUGCAGGGACGGAUAUUCUUGGUCUGAAGCACACUACACAGUUCUACAGAACUCUACCUUGGUGACCCCGUAUGUCGAUGAACACAAGAACAGUAUGCGCUCCAAACACCCGGAGCAGUGUGACGACUGGAUUACAUGUGAACACAUCAGGACUUUCAGCAGUUGGUUGGAAACACGUCUCAGAGGUGACACCACUAUUUGUGAUGAGUUGUACUCGUUGUCCAGGGGACCAUCUUCGACUGUAUUGACUUACAAAGGAUACGAGAUAAAUGGGAAUACAUUUUACACGAUCGCCCAAGAUCAAAAGAGCACCAACCAAAACAGCGGUGUCCGCUUUGAUGCAGCAACCGAGAGGGGAAAGGACACAUAUUAUGGUUACAUAAUGGACAUAUGGGAACUUGACUACGGACAUGAUUUUAAGGUCCCUUUGUUUAAGUGCAAAUGGGUCAAUCUGUCAGGAGGCGGGGUACAGGUAGACCCACAGUACGGAAUGACAACAGUGGAUCUGAACAAUCUUGGGUACACUGACGAACCGUUCGUCCUAGCCAAUGAUGUGGCACAGGUUAUCUAUGUGAAGGACAUGUCUACCAGACCGAGGAAAAGAAAAGAUAAGGAAGCGAAUACAUCAUACGAUGAGCCAAAGCGGCACAUAGUUCUUUCAGGAAAAAGGGACAUUGUGGGAGUGGAGGGCAAGACAGACAUGUCUGAAGAUUAUGAAAAGUUUCAUGAAAUUCCUCCCUUCAAAGUCAAGGCUGACCCAAGCAUCCUGAUAAACGAUGAAGAUUAUCCAUGGUUACGGCGCAAUAAGCAAAUACACAAGCGAAGAAAAAGUGAAGACUUUCUCCCGCAACUAUUAUGAUGAUAGCAUGCCAACUUUGUAAUAGACGAGUAUGAUACCAUUGUCGGUUUUGUACAAGAAGUGCAUCUAGUUUUUGCCGUAACCCUCUCAACUUUCUUGCACAUGCUAUGUGGAUGAAAUGAUGAUACCAUGCCAACUUUCAACCUUUUCAGAGUUCAUUUGAAAUGCUUUAUAAGCCCUGAGUGCAGAGAGGUUAGGCCCGUAAGCCUGCUUUAGAGAGGAGCUCGACAGCUCAGGCGCACCGCACCUUAUAAACAGGUGCGGCUCUCUCUUAGCUAGCGAGGUGGGACUAAACUCACCACCACGCCGCUGUGCAAGGCCAUUGGUCCCGGUUGGUGGCACGAACCGGGACCAAUUCCACCCUUUGGUCCCUGUUGGUGCCACGAACCGGUACUAAUGAGGCUGUGGCCCCACGAGCACCUUUAGUACCUGUUCGUGGCACGAACCGGUACUAGAGUUUCUUACUAGCUAAGCAGUUUUUUAGUCCCACCUCGCUAGCUGAGAGGCACUAGGAGCGGUUUAUAAGCCCUGAGUGCAGAGACGAUGAAGAAGAGGCGCAAUGCUCACGUUGCUUAGCUUCAAGCCUUGAGGAAUAAGGUAGACUGCAUCAAGCUAUGUGCAGUGCAGUCUACACUAUUCCGAAAGGCUUGAAGCAAAUCAACGCGCAUUGCGCCUCUUUUUUAUUUUUAAUCAUUAAAAGCAAAAAGAAUUUUCAUAAAGAACUUUUUUUGAUAGAAACUUUAAUAGCAGAAAGAAUUAUCAUAAAGUAAAAUAAAUAAGUAAUUAGAAACAAAAUAAAAUAAAAUAAAUAAGUUUUUUGUUGUAAGUAGAAAUAAAACAAAAUAAAUAUAGCAAAAAAGAAAAUAAAAAAACUAAAUACAACAAAAAGAAUUUUCAUAAAGAACUAAUGGCACUAAUAGAAAGUUUAUAUGUUUUCUAAAACUAAUGGCACUAACAGACAGUUUAUAAUUUUGCUGACCUAAAAGCAAAAAGAAUUAAAAAAUAAAGCAAAAAACAAAAGAAAAUAAAUAAUGCAAAAAAUUUAAAAAACGGCCACCUAUUGGGCCACCACGGCCUGAAUACGACUAGAAACCCAACCUGGGCCAGGAUUCAGGCCCGCAGAAGGCCCAAUAGGCCAACAGACAGCACAGUGUGACAUUAGGACCGUAAGCCUGCAUUUGAGAGGAGCUCGAGAGGGCAGCCGCAGUGGAGCUUAUAAACCACUCCGAGCCCCUCUCAACUAGCGAGGUGGGACUAAACUUUUGGCCGCGGGCAGCGCAAGGCCUUUGGUCCCGGUUGGUGGCACCAACCGGGACCAAUGCCCCCCCUUUAGUCCCGGUUGGUGCCACCAACCGGGACGAAAGGCCGCCGCUUCCCGCCCUUUGGGCUGCUGAAAAGAGGCCUUUGGUCCCGGUUGGUGGCACCAACUGGGACUAAUGCCCACCUUUAGUCCCGGUUGGUGCCACGAACCGGGACUAAAGGCUUUGCUAUAUAAGUCCACACUUAGGAAAUUUUCGACAUACCUCGCCAGUUGCCCCCGACGCCGCUAGGCUGCCCGUGCUCGCCGUCGCCGCCCGCUCCUCAUCGCCGUCGCCCCGCGCCCUUGCCUCGACGGGUCGCCGCCCGGUGCUCGUCGCCGUCGCCCUGCCCCCACNNNNNNNNNNNNNNNNNNNNNNNNNNNNNNNNNNNNNNNNNNNNNNNNNNNNNNNNNNNNNNNNNNNNNNNNNNNNNNNNNNNNNNNNNNNNNNNNNNNNNNNNNNNNNNNNNNNNNNNNNNNNNNNNNNNNNNNNNNNNNNNNNNNNNNNNNNNNNNNNNNNNNNNNNNNNNNNNNNNNNNNNNNNNNNNNNNNNNNNNNNNNNNNNNNNNNNNNNNNNNNNNNNNNNNNNNNNNNNNNNNNNNNUGUAUAUAUGUUGUCGUUGUCGAUAUUACCCCCUCCCGAUAACUUCAACACGAGGGGGGAUAACUUCAACACGAGGGGGGGUCGAUAUACCCCCUCCUCGAUAACAUUAUUUUCCCGUGUAUGUAUGUCGUUGUUGUCGAUAUAAAACCCCCUCCCGAUAACUUCAACACGUGGGGGGGGGGGGUCGAUAUAUACCCCUCCCCGAUAACAUUAUUUUCCCGUGUAUGUAUGUCGUCGUUGUCGAUAUAUAUAACUCCCUCCCAGAUAACUUCGACAUGAUGGACGGUCGAUAUGUAUACCCCCUCUCGACCGUGAUAACUUAUACCACGGGAGAACCCCCCGGCCCUCUCGCUCGACCAAAACUCUCGAGGACACCCAAACCCUAGAAAAAAACGAUGUCGGUCUCCUACCCCCUCCCGCCGCGCCCCUACCCUUGAAGCGUUGCCUAGGCCACCCCAAACCCGGAAUAAGCUAGGUCUACGUUUGCACUAAUAUAUCCACCUGCUGUCAUGUUUGUGUAAUAAUUGCCAUGUUAUAAUAUUUGCAGAAACAAUGGAGCACGGACGAGAUGAGCAAGCAGAAGAUGUGUUGGGGGACAUAAUCUUAGCCGGAGGUGAUAUCUUGUCGUAUCUUAACGACAAUGAUGGUCUGGAAGAACAGGGUGAAGAAGCAGGCUGCGGUGAUCGAAGAGUGGAGGAGGAAAGACAUGAUUAUGAUGGCUCUGGUGACCCAAUGCUGGUGCAAGAAGGAGCCCGUGGUGACGGCUCCGGUGACCGAACAGAGUCCGACCAGGUAAAUAUAUUAGUUAAGCCUGUGCUGACUAGCUAAUUGAUGCAUUCAUUGUUUUGGUAUGUACACAUAUUAAUUAACACUCGUCUUUCUUCUUUUUUCUAGCCCUCCGGAUCGAGCACAACUGCGGUAAAGAGACGAGGCCCGAAGAGAAAGUUGCGCUCGGAUGAAAGGUUUGAGAUCACAGCAAUCGCGCGCGACGGCCAACCGAUUGAACCCCUCCGGACAAAGGAUGCUUUUGCUGCUCAGUGCGGGGUUCUAGUUAGGGACAAGAUCCCGAUCAGCAUCCACCAAUGGUAUAAGCCUAAGAAGGAAGACCCUGAGGUGUCUUAUGUCAAUGAUAUGCAGAAAGAUGAUCUUUGGACUGAGCUGAAGGCAAAUUUCACCCUACCGCCAGAGGAGGAUCCGGAGAAGCCAGUUAUAGAGCAAUUAAUCAAGUCUCAUGCUCUUAAGAAGAUGGCAGACCUAUUCAGGAGGUGGAAGAAUGAGCUGAAAACUUUUGUCGACAAAGAAGAGACACCAGAAUUCGUCGGCCGGUAUGAGAAGAUCAGAGAUCACUGGCCCGCAUUUGUGGCCCACAAGACAUCAGAAAAGAGUAAGAAGAUCAGAGAUCACUGGCCGGUAUGAGAAGAACAAGCAGAAUGCUGCGAAGAAGAAGCUUCACCAUCGCACGGGGUCAGGUGGCUACCUCAAAGCCCGACCUAAGUGGGCCAAGGCUGAGAAUGAUCUGCUUGAAAAAGGGAUCAAACCACAGACAAUGAACUGGACAGACCGUUGCCGGACUUGGUUCUUCGGGGCUGGCGGAACCUUGGACCCUGUAUCAGGGAGGUGCGUUUGGACGAACGAGCUUUUGAGAAUACCAGUCAAGAAGAUUCAGCAAUAUAUCGAUGCAGCGCAGGAAGGGACGUUCGUUCCAGACAGAGAGAACGACGAGCUCACAAUGGCCCUCGGGAAUCCUGAGCACCCUGGACGGACACGAGGCACGCCAGGCUCCGUUCCGUGGAAGGCUGGUUUUCCGGACGCGGGUGGUUACAAAACCCAGGAGAGGAGGAAAAAAGUGGAGCAAAUCCAAAUUCAGCGUCUGCACGAAAGGGUUCAAGUGCUAGAGGAACGAGACGGCAAUAGAGAUGCCGAAACUGCCCCCGAAGCUACACCGCCAUCUCAGCGUAGAAGCAGCGUGGCUUCCACCGAGCUGCCUCAGCUGGAGCAUGCGGCUACUCCUAGCUACCCCGUGGAUGCUAUCACAGAGUCUCAACAUUGCCACCUUAUGGCGGAAUGGCAGAACUUGAAAGUCAAGGCGGCUGUUGGCUCUGUUUUACCUACUGAACCCGGCGCAACCUACCACUGCCGGCAGAUUCCAGAAGGAUAUGCUAGGGUGAUGGUGGAUGAAAUAACGGAGGGAUUUGAGGACCUCCAGCUUGACCACCCUACCGGUGAAGGGGAGACUCGGCUGGGUUUAGCUCUGAAGACUCCAUGCCUAUGGCGGAAGGAGCUCAUCAAGCUUCCGAACUAGACGGCUCCGGCGAGUAAGGGCACUCCGCCUCCUCCUCCGCCUCCUCCUCCGCCUCCUCCUCCGGUGAGUGAUCAGGGCACUCAGCCUCCUUCUCCGGCGCGUGGCGGCACUCCGCCUCCUUCUCCGCCAGCGCCGGCGCGCCAGAGCAGCCAGCCUCCUCCUUCUCCGCCUCGUCAGCAAGGGCGGAAGAGACCCGCCGCCGCUGCGGCUGCUCCGGCGCGUCGUAGUCCUUCUCCUCCGCCUCGUAAGCAAGGAAAGAAGACAGCCGCUCCGUCUGCUCUGCCGGCGUCUAGCAGUACAGCUGCCAGAGGCGGGAGGCAAUACAGAUUCGGUCCUUCUCUGAAGACUCCAGAGAAGUUACCAUAUGAGAGGACCGAGGAGGAGAACGCGAAGAUCGUGCGAGCCGAAGUGAAGAACUUCUUUGAAGGGGUCAAAGCAAAGAAACAUCCACCUCCGGAGGAGAAGGUAGAUCCGGUGAAAGCAAAGCGCACUCUGGCUGCCCUGACAAAACCACCAAAGUCUCCGCCAAAAGGCAACUAUGAGCGCGUUCUUGCAAAGGCAUAUGCCGAAGCGGAGCGGUCGGGAAGUACUGUCAGUGAUAAAAGGAUGAAAGAACGACGAGGUGGGAAAAAAAUUGCCCAGCUCGGCGAACAAGAGAACCAAUCGUGCCCCCCGCUCAAGGUGUCAAAAGACAUCGUCGCUAAUGAUCCGGGUAUGGUGCCCGGUUAUACCGAUCUUGGAGAUUACCUGCCCGACGAUGUACAUUAUGAAAUCAUGGAGGUGGACGAACACAAAUACCAUUACGGGAAGCCUCUCGUCAAAGAUGUCAAAUCUCUAAGCACGAUGAUGCGAAGACUACAUGAUUGGUACAUGAAAACCUGCAGAGAGUCUGAUGGGAUGAGUACUUUAACGCUGAGAGUUAAACCGGAGCAUGACCUCGUUGGAAUUGAACUGCUGAAUGUUCCAUUUGAGGAUUUCUUCCAGUUUUACAAUCUAAAGUCCCUCGAUAAAACAAUGAUCACUUGCUACUGUCUGUAAGUAGUACUACUUCUGUCAUUAAGUCUCUCUAUAUAGGUCAGUUCUUUCAUUGCAUGUAUUUAUACUUAUCCUCACUAUAUUAUGCAGAUUGAAGAUCGCCGAAUUGAAGAAAAGACAAAUCGGUGAUAUUGGGUUCAUUAACACAAAUCUCAUAGAUGAUUAUCAGGUUAAAUUUCAUGCCAAAGAUACCGAGGCCAACUUGCUACAAUCGUUGGUAAUAAAUCAAAACAAAGAUAUAAUACUCUUUCCUUACAACUUCAAGUGAGUGUUACUGUCUUCUGCAUAUUCGGUUUCCCUUUAUUAGUCCAGGUUAUGGUAAUGUAAUUGAUGACUUAUGCAUGCAUGCGCAGCUUCCACUAUAUUCUCUUAGAGAUUAAGCUUGAGCCGGGAGUAGUAACCGUCUUAGACUCAAGACGAAAAGAUCCCCAGGACUAUGCGAACAUGACUCAAAUGCUCCAGAAGUAAGUUAAAUCGAUCAUUAUCCACCAUAUCAGCAACUUUGUUCAUUUCCUGAUAUCAAGUAAUUGUUUUCUUUGUCUGGCAGGGUUUGGAGAAAAUUCACCUCAAAAGCCCCGGGACUGCCGAACCAGCUGCAAUUUAGACACCCGAAGGUAAGUACUAUAGUAGCAUGUUCCGCGCAUCUCCUAGUGAUUCAAGCGCUAGUUUGAUCAAUACCAUUUAGCAUGCUUGCUUAUCAGUUUGAUUGACCUCUAUUUCUUGUAAAGUGGUUGUGGCAGCAACCCGGGAAUAAUUACUGUGGAUACUACAUUUGCGAGUCCAUCCGCUACCAUACCUGUGAGCGGGGCUACACUGAAGAACAAUAUGAAGUGCGUAAGCAAUAAUAUUCACAAUUUUAUUUUAUUACCAUCAUUUGUGUUGAGUUUCAUUUAUUCAUAUAUAUAUAUGUAUUGACCCCCUUCUUCAAAUUAGAUUUUUCGGAAGCGGGAUCAACUCCUAGCACCAGAUCGUAUGCGAGGAAUUCAAGAGGAAUUGGCGGCAUUCUUCCUUGACCACGUGAUCGCUGAAAACGGAGAAUACUAUGUGGACCCUGUGUUCCUACAAUAUAAUUAGGAGAUUGUAUUGUAAGAGAUAAUUAUUGUAUAUAUGUAGCCGGUAGUGUCGGAUAGAUAUACGAGAACUUGUUGUUCGACCAAUAUCUCGGAGAAGGAGAGGUGGUCGAUAUCACUUCUCUCUGUAUGCAUAUAUAUAUAUGUUCAUGACGAUCUUCUGUUUCCUUCAUUUGAUUACUAGCUAGCGUGUCUACUCCUCUCCAUACGUAUAUAGUACGUAGCGUCGACAAAGCACGGAGAUAAGAGAGGACACUUCUCUCUAUUAAUUAGCUAGCUAAUACAAUAUAUGAAACACCUAAAUUAACCCCCCAAAACCCCUAAACCACCUCCUCCUCCUCCACCAAAAAAGUUAGGGUUUGUGUCUCAUGCGGACCCUCGUCUGGACGCAAUCAAUGAGUUAUGGUGAGUGAGACUUGGCUCGAUAUGGUUGACGGCAUAUCAUAGCUACUCCAAUCAACAAGGCCUCGAGCUGCUUCCAGGCCGCUGUCAACUGCUGUCAGCUUCAGCAAUCAGCAUGCCGCCAACCCAAAGAGUUGCCUCAUUCUCCGUAACUAAAGAGUUGAGAUACAUUAACAAGCAGCAACAAAAAAAAAGGGCUCUGAGAUAUACAAGGGAAAAAAUGUCUACUCUCCCAAGAUGAUAUUUUGUCAAAAAGCAUGCAUGUUUUAUAUGAUAACACCUAUGCACGCAAAAAAAAAACAAAAAAAUCGUGUUUGUCUAUUUCCUACAGCCAAAAAAA